ACUUCAAGAGCACAUGGUGGAUGCCUAGACACUGUUAGACGAUGAAGGACGCCGCAGGGUGCGAUAAGUUUCGGUGAGGUCCCAAGCAACCUUUGACCCGGAAAUUUCCGAAUGGGGGAACCCACUCUCUAUUGGAGAGUACUGUACAGUGAAUACAUAGCUGUAUGGAGAAGACCUGGUGAAGUGAAACAUCUCAGUAACCAGAGGAAAAUAAAAUAACAAAAGACAUCUUUUUUCUUACCUUACCUCGUUCUCGCAAGAGACGCGGGAUAAGGUAGUUGAAAGAUGUUAUGAUUCCGUUAGUAGUGGCGAGCGAACGCGGAGCAGCCUAAACCUAUAUCUGUGUUGAGCGUAGGAAAAAUUGUCUUUUGACUUUUCGGACUACGUUCUUAAAGGACAGACCGUUGCAGUAUAGGUGUUGUAGGACAUAACGUCGGUUAUCUGUUAUACCGGUUACGUAUAUACAUAUAUAGUCAAAGACUCCUGGAACGGAGCACCACAGAGGGUGAUAGUCCCGUAGAUGAAAUACAUAUAUAUAGGUAAUGUUAUGUUCCUGAGUAGGGCGGAACACGUGAAAUUCCGUCUGAAUCUGUCGCGACUAUGCGAUAAGGCUAAAUACUAACAGUGAUCGAUAGUGAACUAGUACCGUGAGGGAAAGGUGAAAAGUAGCCCGGAGAGGGCGGUGAAAUAGUACCUGAAACCGUGUGCUUACAAUGAGUUGGAGCUCUAGUCUAGAUCUUUUAGAUUUAGGCAGAGUGACAGCGUUCCUAUUGAAGAAUGAGCCUACGAGUUAUUCUUAUGUGGCAAGCUUAAGGACUUUUGGUCUGAAGGCGUAGCGAAAGCGAGUCUUAACGGGCGCUUAAGUCGCAAGGAAUAGACCCGAAACUGAGUGAGCAAUCCAUGACCAGGUUGAACCCCUUCGAAAGAAGGGGGGAGGACCGAACCCACUCGCCGUGCAACACGAGGGGAUGAGUUGUGGAUAGCGGAGAAAUUCCAAUCGAACUCAGUAAUAGCUGGUUCUCCUCGAAAUAUAUUUAGGUAUAGCUGUAUGUGAUCCCUUUGGUGGUAGAGCACUGGAUGGGUGUUGGGCGGUUCGCCGUACCACUCCCAAUCAAACUCCGAAUGCCAGAGAUUAUUAGCAUGCAAGUCAGACUGUGGGGGCUAAGCUUCAUAGUCAAAAGGGAAACAGCCCAGAUCGCAAGUUAAGGUCCCAAAAUUGAUACUAAGUGUAUAAGGUGGUGUCGAUUCUCAAACAACCAGGAAGUUGGCUUAGAAGCAGCCAUCUUUUAAAGAUAGCGUAAUAGCUCACUGGUCAAGAGUCUUCGCGCCGAAAAUGUACCGGGGCUCAAGUAUCAUACCGAAACUGCGAAUUGCCGUAAGAAACUUUACAUUCAAGUUAAAGAUAUUUUUCUCCAGAAAAUUUCGUUAGAAAUUUUCUGUAAAUGAUAAAAGAGAAAGUAUCAUCAUACAUUGAAUAGAAAGUUUCUUACGGCAGUGGUAGAGGAGCAUUCCUAACUGCGUCGAAGUCGGACCCGCGAGGGCCGGUGGAGCGUUGGGAAGAGAGAAUGUAGGCACAAGUAGCAAAAACGCGGGUGAGAGUCCCGCGCGCCGAAAACCCAAGGUUUCCAGGGCAACGAGAAUCGUCUCUGGGUUAGUCGGUCCUAAGGCCAGGCCAUCGAAAGGUGGCGUAACCGAUGGAUGAGCAGGUUAAUAUUCCUGCACUCGGCAUUGUUUGUUAUCAUAUGUGGAUUUCAAAGGUAUGAGCGUCCUUGGUAUUGGGCGUCUCGCAAGAGGAAGACCAAAUCUUCGGAGGAGGUCAAUUCGUGUUAGAGAAGUCCCUAGAAGAGUAUGAUGACGCUAGGCAAUGUCGAUCCGUACCGCAAACCGACACAGGUAGGUAGGUCGAGAAGACCAAGGCGUACGAGAGAAACAUGGUUAAGGAACUCGGCAAAACAGCGGCCGUAACUUCGGGAUAAGGCCUGCCCCAUUUCGGUGGGGCUCAACAAAAGACUCCAUGCGACUGUUUACCAAAAACACAGCUCCCUGCUAACUCGAAAGAGGAUGUAUAGGGGGCGAUGCCUGGCCAGUGUCAGAACGUUAAAGAGAGGGGUUCGACCUCGUGUCAAAGCUCUGAACUGAAGCGCUGAUGAACGCCGGCGGUAACUAUAACCGUCCUAAGGUAGCGAAAUUCCUUGUCGGGUGAGUUCCGACCCGCACGAAUGGCACAACGAUGUGCAGACUGUCUUAACCAUGUACUCGGCGAAAAUACAAGAGUCGUGAAGAUGCGACUUACCCGCAGCUAGACGAAAAGACCCCAUGAAGCUUUACUACAGUUUGACAUUGGUAUAUUAUUUUAUCUGUUCAGUAUAGGUGGGAGCCUUCGGGCGUCCGUGAGAUACCACCCUUAUACUAUGGUAUAUCUAAUCUCGUACCCUGAAUCGGGUAUGGGAGACAGUGUCUGAUGGGUAGUUUAACUGGGGCGGUUGCCUCCCAAAAUGUAACGGAGGCGUUUACAAAGGUUGGCUUGAUCCGGAUGGAAAUCGGAUUGGACGUGCAAACGCAGAAGCCAGCUUUACUGCAAGGGCUACCACCCGAGCAGUCACGAAAGUGGAAGUUAGUGAUCCGACCGUUCAAUAUAGGAUGGCGGAAGCUCAACGGAUAAAAGUUACUCUGGGGAUAACAGGCUGAUCGCACCUAAGCGUCCAUAGCGACGGUGCGGUUUGGCACCUCGAUGUCGGCUCAUCGCAUCCUGGGGGUGAAGAAGCUCCCAAGGGUUAGGCUGUUCGCCUAUUAAAGCGGUACGCGAGCUGGGUUCAGAACGUCGUGAGACAGUUCGGUCUCCUAUCUGCUGUGGGCGUCGAAUAUUGCAGGAACCCAUCCCUAGUACGAGAGGACCGGGAUGGACGAACCUCUGGUUUACCAGUUGUGCACCACGCAUCGCUGGGUAGCUAAGUUCGGCACGGAUAAGCGCUGAAAGCAUCUAAGUGCGAAGCCGUUCCUAAGAUUAAUAUUCAUUUGAGAAUCGUUCGAGACUAGAACGUUGAUAGGCACCAGGUGUAUGC
rnacentral:rRNA from 1 species